rnacentral:tRNA from 1 species
GACCGCGUAGCUCAGUUGGAAGAGCAUUGGGCUAGUACUCAAAAGGUCGUAGGUUCGAAUCCCACCGUGGCCA